rnacentral:rRNA from 1 species
GACGAACGCUGGCGGCGUGCUUAACACAUGCAAGUCGAACGAAGAGCGAUGGAAGCUUGCUUCUAUCAAUCUUAGUGGCGAACGGGUGAGUAACGCGUAAUCAACCUGCCCUUCAGAGGGGGACAACAGUUGGAAACGACUGCUAAUACCGCAUACGAUCUAACCUCGGCAUCGAGGAAAGAUGAAAGGUGGCCUCUAUUUAUAAGCUAUCACUGAAGGAGGGGAUUGCGUCUGAUUAGCUAGUUGGAGGGGUAACGGCCCACCAAGGCGAUGAUCAGUAGCCGGUCUGAGAGGAUGAACGGCCACAUUGGGACUGAGACACGGCCCAGACUCCUACGGGAGGCAGCAGUGGGGAAUCUUCCGCAAUGGACGAAAGUCUGACGGAGCAACGCCGCGUGAGUGAUGACGGCCUUCGGGUUGUAAAGCUCUGUUAAUCGGGACGAAAGGCCUUCUUGCGAACAGUUAGAAGGAUUGACGGUACCGGAAUAGAAGCCCC